rnacentral:rRNA from 1 species
AUUGAACGCUGGCGGCAGGCCUAACACAUGCAAGUCGAACGAGUGGCGGACGGGUGAGGAAUGUCUGGGAAACUGCCUGAUGGAGGGGGAUAACUACUGGAAACGGUAGCUAAUACCGCAUACCAUCGGAUGUGCCCAGAUGGGAUUAGCUAGUAGGUGGGGUAAAGGCUCACCAAGGCGACGAUCCCUAGCUGGUCUGAGAGGAUGACCAGCAACACUGGAACAGAGACACGGUCCGGACUCCUAGGGGAGGCAGCAGUAGGGAAUAUUACGCAAUGGGCGCAAGCCUGAUGCAGCCAUGCCGCGUGAAUGAAGCAGGCCUUCGGGUUGUAAAAUACUUUCAGCGGGGAGGCGUUACCCGCAGAAGAAGCACCGGCUAACUCCGUGCCAGCCGCCGCGGUAAUUC